GCAUAUCAAUAAGCGGAGGAAAAGAAACCAACAGGGAUUGCCCUAGUAACGGCGAAGUGAAGCGGCAACAGCUCAAAUUUGAAAUCUGGCCUCGGCCCGAGUUGUAAUUUGCAGAGGAAGCUUUAGGCGCGGCACCUCCUGAGUCCCCUGGAACGGGGCGCCACAGAGGGUGAGAGCCCCGUAUAGGUGGAUGCCUAGCCUGUGUAAAGCUCCUUCGACGAGUCGAGUAGUUUGGGAAUGCUGCUCAAAAUGGGAGGUAAAUUUCUUCUAAAGCUAAAUACCGGCCAGAGACCGAUAGCGCACAAGUAGAGUGAUCGAAAGAUGAAAAGCACUUUGAAAAGAGGGUUAAAUAGCACGUGAAAUUGUUGAAAGGGAAGCGCUUGUGACCAGACUUGCGCCGGGCUGAUCAUCCGGUGUUCUCACCGGUGCACUCUGCCCGGCUCAGGCCAGCAUCGGUUCUCGCGGGGGGAUAAAGGCCCUGGGAACGUAGCUCCUCCGGGAGUGUUAUAGCCCGGGGUGUAAUGCCCUCGCGGGGACCGAGGUUCGCGCAUCUGCAAGGAUGCUGGCGUAAUGGUCAUCAGCGACCCGUCUUGAAACACGGACCAAGGAGUCAAGGUUUUGCGCGAGUGUUUGGGUGUAAAACCCGCACGCGUAAUGAAAGUGAACGUAGGUGAGAGCUUCGGCGCAUCAUCGACCGAUCCUGAUGUUUUCGGAUGGAUUUGAGUAGGAGCGUUAAGCCUUGGACCCGAAAGAUGGUGAACUAUGCUUGGAUAGGGUGAAGCCAGAGGAAACUCUGGUGGAGGCUCGCAGCGGUUCUGACGUGCAAAUCGAUCGUCAAAUCUGAGCAUGGGGGGCGAAAGACUAAUCGAACCAUCUAGUAGCUGGUUACCGCCG
rnacentral:rRNA from 1 species